rnacentral:lncRNA from 1 species
UGUUAACUCACAAAACAUUCUUUUCAAUGACACCAUUUCUUUAAGAAGGAGUUUUAGCCAUUAUUAUGAUAAAAAGCAAGUACCGUGUAAAAAUCAAUGUGGAACAGGAAAUAGGAGAAUGUCAGAUUCAAUCCUAAGGCUUGAGAAUUUGUGCAGUAUCGAACAGGUACAUGUAUGGAAAUUAAAAUGUUCUCUUUCCAAAAACGUAUCAAUUUUUCAAAUAACUAAAUUGUUAGGAAAUAAAUACUUCAGUUGUUUGCCCCUAACUACUUAAUAAAUGGAACUGUUAGCUAUUUCUUUUGACCUAUAGGCACCAUGGAAAAUUAUUACUGAGACACUAAGGAGAAGAGACUUUGGACUAUGCAGCCAUGAACCAGGAGAAACCUGAGAGAAUCACACGAAUGCCCAGAGAGAUGCAAAGCUAGAAUACUUGAGACACUGCCCCAACCCACUUCCAGUCCUCAAGUCCCCAAGCUUCCUGCCACAGUUCUUAACUUAGGUUAGCCCUCCAGUAUCAUGCCAAUAAAGCCACCUUAUCUUGUUGGUUUAUUUAAGCUCUGAUUCAGUUUUUAUCACCAAUAACCUAGAGUCCUGAGUAACAAAUAUCAGAUGAUUCAAACAUUCAGCCUGGUUUCCUUUGUGAAAUCGUAACUGAAUAUUGUAUAUCAAGGUUUUUUUGUCUUUUAUUUUUUGUCUUUAUAGGGGUGCACCUGAGGCAUAUGGAGCCCAAGAAAUAGCAAAAAGACAAAAAAAAAAAAAAAUUUCUUAAGUAAUCAAAGUCCAUUAUACUCGAAAAUUACAGCUUUAAAAAAAAGAAAAUUACAGCUUCAAAGAAAAGUAAAACAUUCAUUUUUAUAAAUAUUAAAAGUAUUUUCUCAAUACUUAAACUUCCAGAAAUAAAUUAGAGUUUAUAUUUACUUCCUAGAAAGUUUUUUUUUUUUACUAUAAAUCAAAGACAGCAGUGAUUUUGGCAAUGAGGACAAUUUUCAGUUCAUUCACUGUACUUAAUGAUUGAAAUAAAAAUCUAUUUAACAAAUAACAAAGAUAAAUAUUUUCAAAAAUAAAGAUAAAAGUAAACACUUCUGGGAGAAAAACUUUAUCAGAACCAUAUCAAUUAAAAAUGGCAAUUACAGCUAAUUUUUAUGUUCUGUGACAAGGAGAUCAUGUAGACCUAUCGCAAAUAAAGUUUUAUCAGAAAGAAAAAUAACUAAUCAGCUGGCUACCAUUCAGUAGCUUUUUUUGGGUACCCCCCCUCGGCUUUUUAGGGCUCCACACCCGGCAUAUGGAGGUUCCCAGGCUAGCACGGAGUCGAAUCAGAGCUACAGCUGCCAGCCCACACCACAGCCACAGCAAUGUCAGAUCCGAGCCAUGUCUGCGACCUACACCACAGCUCAGGGCAAUGCCAGAUCCUUAACCCACUGAGAGGGGACAGGGAUCGAACCCACAACCCCAUGGU